rnacentral:rRNA from 1 species
GUACGGAGGGUGCAAGCGUUGUUCGGAAUUACUGGGCGUAAAGCGCACGUAGGCGGGUUUACAAGUCGAUUGUGAAAGCCCCGGGCUCAAUCCGGGAAUGGCAGUCGAAACUGUAAGUCUUGAAUACCUGAGAGGGUGACGGAAUUCCUGGUGUAGAAGUGAAAUUCGUAGAUAUCAGGAGGAACACCGGAGGCGAAGGCGGUUGCCUGGCAGUGUAUUGACGCUGAGGUGCGAAAGCGUGGGGAGCAAACAGGAUU